rnacentral:rRNA from 2 species
ACACGUGGGCAACCUUGCCUGGUAAGACUGGGAUAACUUCGGGUUACCGGAGCUAAUACCGGAUAACAUAUGAGACCACAUGGUCUCAUAUUAAAAGAUGGCUUUUAGCUAUCACUUACAGAUGGGCCCGCGGCGCAUUAGCUAGUUGGUGAGGUAACGGCUCACCAAGGCAACGAUGCGUAGCCGACCUGAGAGGGUGAUCGGCCACACUGGGACUGAGACACGGCCCAGACUCCUACGGGAGGCAGCAGUAGGGAAUCUUCCGCAAUGGACGAAAGUCUGACGGAGCAACGCCGCGUGAGCGAAGAAGGUCUUCGGAUCGUAAAGCUCUGUUGUUAGGGAAGAACAAGUAUCGUUCGAAUAGGGCGGUACCUUGACGGUACCUAACCAGAAAGCCACGGCUAACUACGUGCCAGCAGCCGCGGUAAUACGUAGGUGGCAAGCGUUAUCCGGAAUUAUUGGGCGUAAAGCGCGCGCAGGCGGUCCUUUAAGUCUGAUGUGAAAGCCCACGGCUCAACCGUGGAGGGUCAUUGGAAACUGGGGGACUUGAGUGCAGAAGAGGAGAGCGGAAUUCCACGUGUAGCGGUGAAAUGCGUAGAGAUGUGGAGGAACACCAGUGGCGAAGGCGGCUCUCUGGUCUGUAACUGACGCUGAGGCGCGAAAGCGUGGGGAGCGAACAGGAUUAGAUACCCUGGUAGUCCACGCCGUAAACGAUGAGUGCUAAGUGUUAGAGGGUUUCCGCCCUUUAGUGCUGCAGCAUAAUCGCAUUCGGCACUCCGCCUGGGGAUUCCGCGUUUGUAACAAGGCUGUAACUUCCAACGG